rnacentral:rRNA from 1 species
UACGGGGGGGGGCAAGCGUUGUUCGGAAUUACUGGGCGUAAAGGGUUCGUAGGUGGCCACUUAAGUCAGACGUGAAAUCCCUCAGCUUAACUGGGGAACUGCGUCUGAUACUGAGUGGCUUGAGUGCAGGAGAGGGAUGCGGAAUUCCAGGUGUAGCGGUGAAAUGCGUAGAUAUCUGGAGGAACACCGGUGGCGAAGGCGGCAUCCUGGACUGUAACUGACACUGAGGAACGAAAGCCAGGGGAGCAAACGGG